rnacentral:rRNA from 1 species
UACGUAGGGCGCAAGCGUUAUCCGGAAUUAUUGGGCGUAAAGAGCUCGUAGGCGGUUUGUCGCGUCUGCCGUGAAAGUCCGGGGCUCAACUCCGGAUCUGCGGUGGGUACGGGCAGACUAGAGUGAUGUAGGGGAGACUGGAAUUCCUGGUGUAGCGGUGAAAUGCGCAGAUAUCAGGAGGAACACCGAUGGCGAAGGCAGCUCUCUGGGCAUUAACUGACGCUGAGGCGCGAAAGCAUGGGGAGCGAACAGG